AUCCAGCUGACGAGUCUCAAAUAAAAGGAAACGCGCAUCCUGGGU
rnacentral:hammerhead_ribozyme from 1 species